rnacentral:rRNA from 1 species
AUUGAACGCUGGCGGCAGGCCUAACACAUGCAAGUCGAGCGAGCGGCGAACGGGGGCGUAAUGUCUGGGAAACUGCCUGAAGGAGGGGGAUAACUACUGGAAACCGUAGCUAAUACCGCAUCCCAUCAGCUGUGCCCAGAUGGGAUUAGCUAGUAGGUGGGGUAACGGCUCACCUAGGCGACGAACCCUAGCUGGUCUGAGAGGAUGACCAGCCACACUGGAACUGAGACACGGCCCAGACUCCUACGGGAGGCAGCAGGGGGGAAUAUUGCACAAUGGGCGAAAGCCUGAUGCAGCCAUGCCGCGUGAGUGAAGAAGGCUUUCGGGUUGUAAAGCACUUUCAGCGGGGAAGCGUUACCCGCAGAAGAAGCACCGGCUAACUCCGUGCCAGCAGCCGCGGUAAUUC